AACUGUGGGGCCCACCUGAGAUAUAAGGGUCAUUACAGACCCAUUUAAUUCCAAUUUGCUUUCUCUCUCGGGCAGCUUAUAUAUCUCUCUCUCUGCUUCUGUUUUUUUUUUUUUUUUUUUCAACUUCAAUCCUUGAUUUCUCUCUCAAUUCUUGGCGGAUUUAGGUGCCGUUUGAGGCAAAACGACGAGCACGACAAGCUCUACUUGCUAGUACCAGAAAUUCCAGCUUUUAGUCCUCUUUGGGAGCUCGAAUUUAAGGACCCAUUUUAAGGGUUUUGUGCAAUCUUGAGGUCAUGGCAAAGAAAUGGCGGAUGACAAUCCUCCGGAAACUUGAAAGUUGUUAGAAGGUUGUUUGCUAUUUUGUAUUUUGACCAUUCUAUGUAUAUUCAUAGUUGUGGAAAUGUAACUAAGUUAGUAUUCAUGGCCUUGUAAUUUAAGAACGAACUUAUCUUUUAUUUAAUGUAAAUGAAACUAAUGGAAUCAUGGUAUAUAUUUUCAUGUAAUUGUAUCAUGUAACGUUAUAAGACAUGGACUUUAGAUCUUAACCAUGUAUUUUGGGACUGUAAUUAUGAUAAUUUGGAUUAA